rnacentral:rRNA from 1 species
GACGGAGGAUGCAAGCGUUAUCCGGAGUGAUUGGGCGUAAAGCGUCUGCAGGUGGCAGUUCAAGUCUGCUGUCAAAGACCGGGGCUUAACUUCGGAAAGGCAGUGGAAACUGAACAGCUAGAGUAUGGUAGGGGCAGAGGGAAUUCCUGGUGUAGCGGUGAAAUGCGUAGAGAUCAGGAAGAACAUCGGUGGCGAAGGCGCUCUGCUGGACCAUAACUGACACUCAGGGACGAAAGCUAGGGGAGCGAAUGGG